rnacentral:sRNA from 1 species
UGUACCUUCUCUGUUUCAUCGUACGCUGUUUCUUCUUCUUCUUCCUCGUUGA